rnacentral:lncRNA from 1 species
AAAAGAUUUACCGAACUCUAUCACUUUAUCCGGUAUAAAUGUAACAAAUCUAAAUUAAAAAUGGAAUUGGGCACAAGGUGACAUGUAAUAGUACCAUGUAGGAUCAAGCUGACCUUUAAUCUCAAUUAUGACAUGUUCAACUCUAGUAAUCUUGGCUAAGGUUUAUGUUGUGCCUAACUUGUGAGAUGGUGCAUCAGUUUGACACGAAACAUUUUAUAUCUAAUCAAAUCGUUCAUCUCAAUUCGACUUGGGGCGGAUUGUUUCAGCAUUGGUUGACCAAAUUUGUAUACCCCCCCCCCCCCCUCCUUUUUUGCUUAGAAAAGUAACCAAAAAUAUAACAAGAAAAAAAUUAGUCAAUUCAUGCUGCUUAAGUCGUGUGGAACCUAAUAUCUUUCGGUCAUGUUUUAGAACUAGACUAUUCCAUGAGAAUAAUGUCGAAUAGCCUUACAACGUCUCCACCUCUUUCGACCACACUAUUGCAACGUAAGUGGGGUAAAAACAUCAGCGGGCAUGAGGGUACGGAAGUAGUGAUGUUAGGGGAAAACGGUGCAGUUGAUGGGGAAAAUGGCAAUGGGUGUGUGGUGGAGAAGGGAUUGAGGAUGUAAUGAGUGAAUUAGUAGUAAUUUGGAUCUUGGCAUAUUACUUGACCAAUCAAGGUUUUCAUUUAAAAUCUAUUAGAAUCAUAAAAUCAAGUGAAGAUUUCGGUAGACUAAAGAGAUUGCUUAGGAUGAAUAAAGUCAAAAUAACUUAUAUGCAUCUCAAAAAGUAGUGCUAUGAUUAUGGAAAUUGAGACUAUAUUCGAGGUAAAUCCUUGUUUUAACUUUAGUUUCGAGAAGUAUGUGUAAUGAAGGUAAUUUCUCUUUAUUUAUGUUUUUGCACCAAAACUUGCUUCUUGUCAUGUAGUUGUAACUCCGGAUGUAAUGUUAAUGUCCCUCUCUCAUCUGUACAUCAUUUCUUUUAUGGAUUUUGAUGAAAUGCUACUUGGACAUUAUGUAUACCAGGGUGUAAAUUCUAAUGUACAUGUAGAAUAAUUUUUCUUUUAUAAAUAAUGUUAUUUGUAUGUAAGGAGUUACAUAAUGAUUUACGUACAGAUGUAGUGUUAAAAAGAUGGGAAG